rfam:Solemya velum gill symbiont strain WH SV_sym_Scaffold_3, whole genome shotgun sequence.
GCCGGUGUAGCUCAGUAGGUAGAGCAACUGACUUGUAAUCAGUAGGUCGCGGGUUCAAUUCCUGUCGCCGGCU